rnacentral:ncRNA from 17 species
GGUUGAGUGUAUUCGUUAUAAAUACACUUUCAAGAGUUUAGGCUUCUGGGGUGGGAAGUC